GGUAGUUCAAGUUUUUAUUAAUUUGUACAAAAGUAGCCCAUAUAAAUGAAGUGUUUUCAUCAUAUUCCACUUAUGUUAUUGGGUUGUCUAAAUUGUCUACUGUUAGUUUAAUGCACAGUAAUCUGACAAUAUUGUUAGUUGAAUAUUGUUAGUUGAGUAUUGUUAGUUUGCUGUCAGUCUGUAUCCGAAUGAGAGUAUAUCACAUCCAGAAAAGAUUGAAAUCAUUGUGAUCCAAAGUGUUUUUCAAAGAUAUAUAAAAAAACUAUGACCUUAUCUGCUUUUUCUCGUACGCACUAGAAAGUCCAAAGUCAUCGCGGACGGGAAUGGCACACAAAGUGAAUCAUUGAGGGGGAGAAAGAGAAGAAAAAUAAAGAAAGAAGUAUAACGGGAAGAAGAAGAUGAUGACGAUGGUUAAACUGAAAAUGAGGAAGAAGAAGGAAACGAAGAGGAAGAAAAUGAAGGAUCUGCUAAAGUGUGAGGAAGGAGAACAUUGAUAGAAUAGCAGGUGAACAGAUAGAGAAGUAUUGGUGCGAAAAGGUGCCAAAGAGGGCCUGUGGAGAAGAUAAAUCAUGAAACGAAAAUGGAGAAGGAGAAAAUAAAAGAAGGAA